CGUCAGACCCUCACCCAGUCAAGCAGUCACCCUCGCUCACAUUUCUUGCAAUUAUUUUGUAUUUUGAACUAUUAGACAUAUUGCAUCAAAUUGUAGAUAAAGAUAUGUAAAAAUUAAACUAUUUAUAUAUAAUGUCGAGAAUUUCAAUCGGCUCGUUUAGAGCUCGAGCUCGGCUUGACUCGAAAUUAGGCUCGCUCGAGCUCGGCUCGAAUUAAUUUCAAGCCGAGCUUGAGCCUAGAUUUAGGCUCGAAAUUAAUUUCAAGCUGAAUUUGAGCUGACAUAUGCUCGCUCGAGCUCGGCUCGUUUCCACCCCUACUGGCAAUUAAAUCGUUGCGAGGGUGUUG
rnacentral:lncRNA from 1 species